rnacentral:lncRNA from 12 species
CUUGGCUUGGACCAGAACUGACCUUCCUCAGCCUCUUUAGGGUUGUGUGUCCAGGGUGACCGGGCAGCCGUACGUGUGCUGCACUGUCUUGCAUGCAUGUGGCAGGAGGGAGAGACAGGUGGGAGGUGGCCCCUGGUGGGCACGGUGGCACCUGGAGCUGGGCCCAGAGGAGGAGCUGAGGAGGGAAAGAGAGGAUGCAAGUGGCCACACUUGGGCGUUUGGAUGGGCUUGUUCACAGGACAGGUCCCAGUCUCCCAACUGCCCUGGAGAGAACCGGUUCUGGCUCAUUCUUGACUUGGAGAUAAAAGCACUGAGGCUAGCAGAGUGUACUGGAUCUGCUCUGCUUCCCUCGGCAUCUGGGUACCAGGAUUCCAAGGGGAAACCGAGUCUCCCACAGGCCUCUCAGCUCAGGAGCCAGGUCACUCGGCGGGGGGUGGGGGUGGGGUCAGUGUUACCAGAUGCCCUUCAUCUCAGUAAAUAUUUCUGGGUGGUUUUCUCUCUCAUAAGCACCGUCCUGCUCAGACGAUUGCUUCUCACAAGACACAUGGGUAUUGGUGAUCUGCUGCCUUCGCUUUACUUUCUCCAGGAAAAGUCACGAUGAUGACGCUCCAGGCGCUGGGGACUCUGGCAUUCUCACCCAAACGUCCCAAGACUGUUCUCCCCAGGGGUCUGCCUUCCUGAUGGCAAAGCCGAAGCAGGUGUGUCCCCGAGGCACCCGGGGGGUGGCUGCGGACCGGCCACUUGUGAGGCCACGG